rnacentral:rRNA from 1 species
UACGUAGGGUGCGAGCGUUGUCCGGAAUUACUGGGCGUAAAGAGCUCGUAGGUGGUUUGUCGCGUUGUUCGUGAAAACUCACAGCUCAACUGUGGGCUUGCGGUCGAUACGGGCAGGCUAGAGUUCGGUAGGGGAGACUGGAAUUCCUGGUGUAGCGGUGAAAUGCGCAGAUAUUAGGAGGAACACCGGUGGCGAAGGCGGGUCUCUGGGCCGAUACUGACGCUGAGGAGCGAAAGCGUGGGGAGCGAACAGG